UCAAGAGGUAGUUUAUAAAAAAUAUUAAUUUUGGAGAUUAAUGAAAAAGAAUUUCUUUUCUCUUGAA
rnacentral:tRNA from 1 species